AGAGUUUGAUCCUGGCUCAGAUUGAACGCUGGCGGAAUGCUUUACACAUGCAAGUCGAACGGCAGCACGGGAGCUUGCUCCUGGUGGCGAGUGGCGAACGGGUGAGUAAUACAUCGGAACAUGCCUAGUCGUGGGGGAUACCGUAGCGAAAGUUACGUUAAUACCGCAUACGUCCUGAGGGAGAAAGCAGGGGAUUCGCAAGACCUCACGUUAUUCGAGCGGCCGACGUCUGAUUAGCUAGUUGGUGGGGUAAUGGCCUACCAAGGCGACGAUCAGUAGCGGGUCUGAGAGGAUGAUCCGCCACACUGGAACUGAGACACGGUCCAGACUCCUACGGGAGGCAGCAGUGGGGAAUUUUGGACAAUGGGGGCAACCCUGAUCCAGCCAUUCCGCGUGAGUGAAGAAGGCCUUCGGGUUGUAAAGCUCUUUCAGCAGGGAAGAAACGAUUGUGAUUAAUACUCAUGAUUAAUGACGGUACCUGCAGAAGAAGCACCGGCUAACUACGUGCCAGCAGCCGCGGUAAUACGUAGGGUGCGAGCGUUAAUCGGAAUUACUGGGCGUAAAGCGUGCGCAGGCGGUUUUUCAAGUCUGAUGUGAAAUCCCCGGGCUUAACCUGGGAACUGCGUUGGAAACUGAAAGACUAGAGUGCGGCAGAGGGGGGUAGAAUUCCACGUGUAGCAGUGAAAUGCGUAGAUAUGUGGAGGAAUACCGAUGGCGAAGGCAGCCCCCUGGGUCGACACUGACGCUCAUGCACGAAAGCGUGGGUAGCAAACAGGAUUAGAUACCCUGGUAGUCG
rnacentral:rRNA from 1 species